UGUCACUUCCUGAUUAAAGUAUAUGGUAGCGAAAAGUGUAGAGUUGUCUUGAAAGCGCAAGUCUUGAAAAUUUACGAAGUCGACACGGUCUGUAGCUAAGGCAUGGUUUAAGAAAUAAACCACUUCAGAUUUCUUAGUGACAUUUUCUCCAUUCUUGCGGUAUCGGGAAUACUGUACAAGUUGUACUACAUCACUAAAUGCACUAUUAUACUUAAAAAAAAUCGGCAGAAGGAAUUUCGCACGACUUAGCCGUAUUCUGAUGUAGAUUGUAGGCCGUAAAUAUGCAUAAUAUUAACGUGUUUGAAGUGAAUAAUUACGGAGAUUAAAAUUGUUUAGAUCCCUUUUGGGUGAAGGAUGAUAAUGACGAGAGAAGGAAGAGUGUGGAACCCAGUACUGCCACACAGCCUACACGCCUCGAAUAGCACCAAAGGGACUGCCAAGUUUAAUGUCUCCAUCAAUCAGAUGGAUCACCAACAUGUCACAUGCCCUCACUUAAUAACUGAGGAGAGGUUUGGAAUUUAAUCCAUGACACUAGCGCAAAGUCUGAUGGUAAGGAAAUGUACCCUGCCACAUCUCCUCACCUUGCUGGCAGAGUACUGGCUGUGAAAAUUUCAUCUCCCCCCAGGAUUUGAACACACACACACACACACACACACACACACACACACACACACACACACUUACUUCUGAGUCGAGCACCACCACACAGGUGUGCUUUAGUGACCUCCACUACAGGGGCUGGUGUUGUCACUGAAAUGAAAAUGAAAUGAAGAUAAGUGGAACGUGAAUUGAAAUCAAUGGAUGGCACAUGCACUAUGGAAGUUCUUUACUGAAUGCAAGAAAGACUGUGAAGAGAAUCUAACAGAAGGUGGAUAGACAACAUCAGAAAUCUUGAAAACAUACAUAGUGAUAUGGAUCUAUCUUCUUGAAGACCGCAGUGUCUGCAAAAAUACAGAGGAGGUCUGCAUCUAUGAAGCGCAAAGAACUGGUUGACAUGAAUGAUCAUCAGAAGUACGUAUAACAUUGAGGAAAUAGCUAAUAAUAAUUUCUUACUGUUAGUAUACAGGUACUUUUUUGACUCACUUCACUGAAGGAUCACAUUUAUGAUGGAACAUGAUGAUCAAGUACACUAAUUAAUGAACAAAUGCUGAUUUCCACCAAGGUAGCAGAAGAUCUACAAGCUGUUAAAAUUGUGAAGUGGUAUACCCGGUGAACCCAUACACUACAGACAAAAUUUCAGAAAUAGUUCAGGGGCAUUUUCUAAGUAUUUUUAGAACAAGGGGUCCAUGAUCUCAUGUGGCUCAAUACAAAGUAAUUUAAUUGUGUGUGAUUUCUUACUCCCCUUUACAGUGAGGUGACAAAAAUUGUGGGAUUAGUGAAAUGCAUACAUACAGAUGGCGGCACUUUCAUGUACACAAUGUAUAAAAGGGCAAUGUAUUGGUGGAGCUGUCAUUUGUACUCUGAUAAUUCAUGAGAAAAGGAUUUCGAUGUGAUUAUGGCCGCACAUCGGGAAUUAACAGACUCUAAACGCAGAAUGGUAGUUGGAGCCAGAUGCAUGGGACAUUCCAUUUCGGAAAUCCUAGGGAAUAUGGUGAACAGUGUCAAAUAUGUACCGGAAAUACCAAAUUUUAGGCAUUACCUCUCACCAUGGACAACGCAAUGGCCGAUGGCCUUCAUUUAACGACUGAGAGCAGUCUUUGUUGCACAGAAGAGAGUUAUCAGGAUUUUGAGUAGAGUGCAUUCUAGAUCUUCUUGCAGAAAUUUAUUGAAACGGCUGGGGAUCCUCACCAUGCCUUGUCAAUACAUCUUGUCACUAAUGUGCUUCGUGAACAAAAAUUAUGCAAUUUACAAAAUGAGUAGUGCGUGCCAUGAUCACAAUACAAGAAGAAAAUAUGAUCUUCACAUAGAUUUAAGAGAUCUCAGCAUGGUACAGAAAGGAGUUCAUUAUUCAAAUAUAAAAGUGUUCGAUAAACUUCCUGUCCGUAUCAAAUCAGUCAUUGGGGAUCAUACUAAAUUCAAAACAGAGCUAAAACUUUGUUUUGGAUAAUUCUUUCUAUUCUUUACAGGAAUUCUUUGAUAAUGUGUAAUACUUCUUGAAUUUGUGUUUAAUUUCAUGCAUUUCUAAUAGAACUGAUUAUGUAGACUAGCAUAUCACUUGUUAGCUGAAUAUUUUUAGAUGAAUUACUUUAAAUUUGUUUAUGUAAUGAUCUAUGUCAUUACUGUACUAUUAUCUGUGUUGUUAUCUAAAUUUUUGUGUGUAAUUAUUUGACAUGUGGAUGUCUUUUAUCAUGUAUCUGAUUAUAUAUGUUAAAUUGGUUGCCUCAUGAUCAUCUACAUGUGGCUAUUUCUGUAAUAACCUGACACAUUCUACAUCCUAGCGAUACAUUCGCGUCAAGGAUCCACAGAACUCGAAAAUAAAUAAAUAAAAGUG
rnacentral:lncRNA from 1 species